rnacentral:rRNA from 1 species
AAAUAUUCCUGUACCGAUGUGUAGUGCGAUGUGGGGACGGAUCUUAAUAGGUCAUCCGGGUGUUGGAUAUCCCGGUUUAGUUGGAAGUAGGCGAUGGGUAGGCAAAUCCGCCCGUCAUAUACCGAGGCCAACGAUCGAGCCAGCUUGCUGGUGAAGUGACUGAACGAGGUUCCAGGAAAAGCCACUAAGCUUCAGCUAUACACGACCGUACCGCAAACCGACACUGGUGCGCGAGAUGAGUAUUCUAGGGCGCUUGAGAGAACUCAGGAGAAGGAACUCGGCAAGUUGACACCGUAACUUCGGAAGAAGGUGUGCCCUAUUAGUGUGAAGUGAACAACGGAGCAUGAAUGGGUUGCAAAAAAUCGGUGGCUGCGACUGUUUAUUAAAAACACAGCACUCUGCAAACACGAAAGUGGACGUAUAGGGUGUGACGCCUGCCCGGUGCUGGAAGAUUAAAUGAUGGGGUGCAAGCUCUUGAUUGAAGUCCCAGUAAACGGCGGCCGUAACAAUAACGGUCCUAAGGUAGCGAAAUUCCUUGUCGGGUAAGUUCCGACCUGCACGAAUGGCGUAACGAUGGCCACACUGUCUCCUCCUGAGACUCAGCGAAGUUGAAAUGUUUGUGAUGAUGCAAUCUCCCCGCGGAAAGACGGAAAGACCCCAUGAACCUUUACUGUAGCUUUGUAUUGGACUUUGAACAGAUCUGUGUAGGAUAGGUGGGAGGCUUUGAAGCAGGGUCGCUAGAUCUUGUGGAGCCAACGUUGAAAUACCACCCUGGUGUGUUUGAGGUUCUAACCUAGGUCCAUUAUCUGGAUCGGGGACAGUGCAUGGUAGGCAGUUUGACUGGGGCGGUCUCCUCCCAAAGCGUAACGGAGGAGUUCGAAGGUACGCUAGUUACGGUCGGACAUCGUGACGAUAGUGCAAUGGCAUAAGCGUGCUUAACUGCGAGACUGACAAGUCGAGCAGAUGCGAAAGCAGGACAUAGUGAUCCGGUGGUUCUGUAUGGAAGGGCCAUCGCUCAACGGAUAAAAGGUACUCUGGGGAUAACAGGCUGAUACCGCCCAAGAGUUCAUAUCGACGGCGGUGUUUGGCACCUCGAUGUCGGCUCAUCUCAUCCUGGGGCUGUAGCCGGUCCCAAGGGUAUGGCUGUUCGCCAUUUAAAGAGGUACGUGAGCUGGGUUUAAAACGUCGUGAGACAGUUUGGUCCCUAUCUUCCGUGGGCGCUGCAGAUUUGAGGAAGCCUGCUCCUAGUACGAGAGGACCGGAGUGGACACACCUCUGGUGUAUCGGUUGUCACGCCAGUGGCAUUGCCGAGUAGCUAAGUGUGGAAGAGAUAACCGCUGAAAGCAUCUAAGCGGGAAACUCGUUUCAAGAUGAGAUCUGCCGGGGCCUUGAGCCCCCUGAAGAGUCGUUCAAGACCAGGACGUUGAUAGGUCAGGUGUGGAAGCGCAGUAAUGCGUUAAGCUAACUGAUACUAAUUGCUCGUGCGGCUUGACCCU